rnacentral:rRNA from 2 species
UACGGAGGGUGCAAGCGUUAUCCGGAUUUAUUGGGUUUAAAGGGUCCGUAGGCGGAUCUGUAAGUCAGUGGUGAAAUCUCACAGCUUAACUGUGAAACUGCCAUUGAUACUGCAGGUCUUGAGUAAGGUAGAAGUAGCUGGAAUAAGUAGUGUAGCGGUGAAAUGCAUAGAUAUUACUUAGAACACCAAUUGCGAAGGCAGGUUACUAUGUCUUAACUGACGCUGAUGGACGAAAGCGUGGGGAGCGAACAGG